rnacentral:tRNA from 1 species
UCCUGGUUAGCUUAGUUGGUAGAGCGCUCCACUGGAAAUAGAGACGUCUGUGGUUCGAUACCAGGCCCAGGCG